rnacentral:rRNA from 1 species
CAGUCGAACGGUAACAGGUCUUCGGAUGCUGACGAGUGGCGAACGGGUGAGUAAUACAUCGGAACGUGCCCGAUCGUGGGGGAUAACGGAGCGAAAGCUUUGCUAAUACCGCAUACGAUCUACGGAUGAAAGCAGGGGACCGCAAGGCCUUGCGCGGACGGAGCGGCCGAUGGCAGAUUAGGUAGUUGGUGGGAUAAAAGCUUACCAAGCCGACGAUCUGUAGCUGGUCUGAGAGGACGACCAGCCACACUGGGACUGAGACACGGCCCAGACUCCUACGGGAGGCAGCAGUGGGGAAUUUUGGACAAUGGGCGAAAGCCUGAUCCAGCCAUGCCGCGUGCAGGAUGAAGGCCUUCGGGUUGUAAACUGCUUUUGUACGGAACGAAAAGACUCCUUCUAAUAAAGGGGGUCCAUGACGGUACCGUAAGAAUAAGCACCGGCUAACUACGUGCCAGCAGCCGCGGUAAUACGUAGGGUGCAAGCGUUAAUCGGAAUUACUGGGCGUAAAGCGUGCGCAGGCGGUUAUAUAAGACAGAUGUGAAAUCCCCGGGCUCAACCUGGGAACUGCAUUUGUGACUGUAUAGCUAGAGUACGGUAGAGGGGGAUGGAAU